rnacentral:rRNA from 1 species
UAUCAAGUUUCUAAGAGCAAACGGUGGAUGCCUUGGCAUCUGGAGCCGAAGAAGGACGUCGUAAUCUGCGAUAAGCCUCGGGGAGCUGAUAAACGAGCUUUGAUCCGAGGAUUUCCGAAUGGGGAAACCCGGCUGGGGCCCUUUGGGGUGCCUGGUCACUCCCGUCUGAAUGUAUAGGGCGGGGUGAGGGAACGUGGGGAAGUGAAACAUCUCAGUACCCACAGGAAGAGAAAACAAUAGUGAUUCCGGUAGUAGUGGCGAGCGAACCCGGAUCCGGCUAAACCGGUCAUGUGUGAUACCUGUCAGGGGUUGCAUGGUCGGGGUUGUGGGACUUUUCUCAUCAUGCUGACAUGUGGUGGGCGUUGAGAGUGGUAUAGGCGAACGGUUUUGAACGGCCGGUCAGAGAGGGUGCGAACCCCGUAGCCGAAAUGCCAUGAUCGCGUGAAGAGUAUCCCAAGUAGCACGGGGCCCGAGAAAUCCCGUGUGAAUCUGUCAGGACCACCUGAUAAGCCUAAAUACUCCCAGAUGACCGAUAGCGGACAAGUACCGUGAGGGAAAGGUGAAAAGUACCCCGGGAGGGGAGUGAAAUAGUACCUGAAACCGUUUGCUUACAAUCCGUUGGAGCAGCCUUGUAGCUGUGACAGCGUGCCUUUUGAAGAAUGAGCCUGCGAGUUAGCGAUAUGUGGCGAGGUUAACCCGUGUGGGGUAGCCGUAGCGAAAGCGAGUCUGAAUAGGGCGAUUCAGUCGCAUGUCCUAGACCCGAAGCGAAGUGAUCUAUCCAUGGCCAGGCUGAAGCGUGUGUAAGAGCACGUGGAGGGCCGAACCCACUUCAGUUGAAAAUGGAGGGGAUGAGCUGUGGAUAGGGGUGAAAGGCCAAUCAAACUUCGUGAUAGCUGGUUCUCUCCGAAAUGCAUUUAGGUGCAGCGUUGCGUGUUUCUUUCCGGAGGUAGAGCUACUGGAUGGCUAAUGGGCCUCAACAGGUUACUGACGUCAGCCAAACUCCGAAUGCCGGAAAGUGAGAGCGCAGCAGUGAGACGGUGGGGGAUAAGCUUCAUCGUCGAGAGGGAAACAACCCAGACCACCAUCUAAGGUCCCUAAGCGCGUGCUAAGUGGGAAAGGAUGUGGAGUUGCAGAGACAACCAGGAGGUUGGCUUAGAAGCAGCCACCCUUGAAAGAGUGCGUAAUAGCUCACUGGUCAAGUGAUUCCGCGCCGACAAUGUAACGGGGCUCAAGCACGCCACCGAAGUUGUGGCAUUGACAUUAGUAACUCAGCCGCGGACUUGUUCCGUUGGUUCAGGUGUGUUGAUGGGUAGGAGAGCGUCGUGUGGCCGGUGAAGCGGCGGUGUAAACCAGCCGUGGAGGCUACACGAGUGAGAAUGCAGGCAUGAGUAGCGAAAGACGGGUGAGAAACCCGUCCUCCGGAAGACCAAGGGUUCCAGGGCCAGGUUAAUCCGCCCUGGGUAAGUCGGGACCUAAGGCGAGGCCGACAGGCGUAGUCGAUGGACAACGGGUUGAUAUUCCCGUACCGGCGAAGAACCGCCCAAGCUAAUCCAGUGGUGCUAAGAGUCCUAGCCGGGGCAUUGAAGCUUCCCUUUUCGAAGGGGGUGGAUGGUCUCGGUGAACGCUCGACCCCAUGCUGGUGCGGUUAGCGUAUUAACAGGUGUGACGCAGGAAGGUAGUCGGUCCUGGGCGAUGGUUGUCCCAGGCCAAGGCUGUAGGCCGGGAGAUAGGUAAAUCCGUCUCCCAUCAGGCUGAGAGUUGAAGGGGAACCCGUAAAGGGUAUGAUCCGAUGAUCCUAUGCUGCCAAGAAAAGCAUCGACGCGAGGUUCUAGCUGCCCGUACCCCAAACCGACACAGGUGGUCAGGUAGAGAAUACUAAGGAGAUCGAGAGAAUCGUGGUUAAGGAACUCGGCAAAAUGCCCCCGUAACUUCGGGAGAAGGGGGGCCACCCGCUUAUACCGCUUGACGCGGGAAAGGGUGUGGUGGCCGCAGAGACCAGUGGGAAGCGACUGUUUACUAAAAACACAGGUCCGUGCCAAGUCGCAAGACGAUGUAUACGGACUGACGCCUGCCCGGUGCUGGAAGGUUAAGAGGAACGGUCAACCCUUUCGGGGGUGAAGCUGUGAAUUUAAGCCCCAGUAAACGGCGGUGGUAACUAUAACCAUCCUAAGGUAGCGAAAUUCCUUGUCGGGUAAGUUCCGACCUGCACGAAUGGCGUAACGACUUCCCAGCUGUCUCAACCACGAACUCGGCGAAAUUGCAUUACGAGUAAAGAUGCUCGUUACGCGCAGCAGGACGGAAAGACCCCGUGACCUUUACUACAGCUUGGUAUUGGUGUUCGGUGUGGCUUGUGUAGGAUAGGUGGGAGACUAUGAUGCGGGCACGCUAGUGUUCGUGGAGUCGUUGUUGAAAUACCACUCUGGUCACUCUGGAUAUCUAACUUCGAACCGUGAUCCGGUUCAGGGACAGUGCCUGGUGGGUAGUUUAACUGGGGCGGUUGCCUCCUAAAGAGUAACGGAGGCGCCCAAAGGUUCCCUCAACCUGGUUGGCAAUCAGGUGGCGAGUGUAAGUGCACAAGGGAGCUUGACUGUGAGACUGACAGGUCGAGCAGGGACGAAAGUCGGGACUAGUGAUCCGGCAGUGGCUUGUGGAAGCGCUGUCGCUCAACGGAUAAAAGGUACCUCGGGGAUAACAGGCUGAUCUUGCCCAAGAGUCCAUAUCGACGGCAUGGUUUGGCACCUCGAUGUCGGCUCGUCGCAUCCUGGGGCUGGAGUAGGUCCCAAGGGUUGGGCUGUUCGCCCAUUAAAGCGGUACGCGAGCUGGGUUUAGAACGUCGUGAGACAGUUCGGUCCCUAUCCGCUGCGCGCGCAGGAAAUUUGAGAGGAUCUGACCCUAGUACGAGAGGACCGGGUUGGACGAACCUCUGGUAUGUCAGUUGUCACGCCAGUGGCAUCGCUGAUUAGCUACGUUCGGGAUGGAUAACCGCUGAAAGCAUCUAAGCGGGAAGCCGGCCUCGAGAUGAGAUUUCCAUCCCCACUUGUGGGGGAGAGGCUCCCAGUAGACGACUGGGUUGAUAGGCCAGAUGUGGAAGCACCGCAAGGUGUGGAGCUGACUGGUACUAAUAAGCCGAUAACUUGAUAAC